AAGUGCCCUGGAGACAGACAAAGAAAGAUGAGAAGAGGCUGGAAUCUCCAGAGUCCAAAAGUAACCUUUUGCUCAUUAUACUCUGAUUACAAUAAAAUUAGCCUCACAGAUAGGAAAUACCCAUCGGGCACGGAAGCCAUGACACAACGAUCAAGGCUAAAUAAAGGAAAAAUGCCUCCGCCUCUUGGGAAGGUGGAGCUGGGAAGAAAAUCAGGGAAUACGACCCCAAACCCCUCCCUCCCCAAUGAAUAUUCCGCCCCUUCACUUCUACACCCCACAUGACCAACUUGCCAAAGAAACUCGGCACAGCUACUCACAUCAACUGCACGAUUGAGCAUAUGACAUAUUGGGAACCAUUGACCGAAACUGCCCGCCUUGGCCAGGAUGCGACGGUUAGUUGUAUGUGUUAACUCGGCUGGGCCACAGGACUCCGAUAUGUGGUCAGACACCAUUCUGGAUGUUUCUGUGAGGAUGCUUUUGCAUGAGCUUGCCAUUUAAAUUGGUGACAUUUGAGUGAGGCCGACUGCUCUCCAUAACCUGGGUGGGUCUCACCUCAUCAGCCGAAGGCCUGAAUAGAACAAAAGACUGAGCUCCUCCAAGCAAGAGGGAAUUCUGCAGCAAACAGUCUCUGGACUUUAACUGCAGCACCAGCUCUCCGGCCUUCUGGCUCUAAGGAAACAGAAUUUGCCACCCUAAGAUACGUCUCUCUGUCACAUGCAUUGUUUUCAGCUGGUUAUUUUCUGAGAAAGAGCAGACAUGGGAAGGGUUCUGACAACCAAGUAGGAGUUGACCUUCUGUACGAAGCAUUUACAUUUAUAAGGGAGAUCUCCAUUUGGGAUGACCAAAUCUCUAGAAACUCUUAUCACUGGUGAAGGCGAUGCCUUAAAUCCGCGUCACAAUCCUGCUCACCUGCCGCAACUGACUCUCCCCACCUUCAACAACCUGUUUUGUCUUUAGCUGAGGAUGGCAUUUAAGGCUUCCGGUGGAGACUCGGGCAGGCGUGUCUCCUGGCCCUGGAAAGCGCGGCAGAUGCCCUCCAUGUCUUUGCACCCUGCUUUGAAGCCUCCCACUCCCAACUCCUGCGGCCGCUUUAGACUCUGGCAAGUCUCUUCAGAGCAAGGUCAAAUGUGUGUUUGGAGCAGGCCUCUCUCCUCGGGUGGGCACUUGGCUCCUCAGGGCCGUGGGACUGCCGCGGACGUCACUCUUCCUUAUACACGCCCCGCCCUGGGUACCGCCGCCUGCAUCUGGGACUCAGCGCGCAUUCUGGUUUUUCGUAGGUUUCGCUUUCCCGGAGCUGAGCGUGCUCGCCCCUCCUCCCUGGGUUGUGGAUACAGUCCCGCUGGUGGUUGGCAAAUCCCCAGGAAGAAAAGACAGGUCAGGCUGGCAGCGUCGGCUCAGCUCGGGGGACUUCCCCACCUCAGGAAGCCAGUCCACUUGGUCCUUGUCCCUCUCAGCUCCCCAACACGUUUACUUACGGCACCUGCAACCUGCCUGUUUUUUUCUUCUUGGUCCAGUGGGAGCAUGUGACCGCCAGUCUGCUUCAACCUCGCAAAUCCCGGACGCCCUCUGAUGGCUACUGAAUUUUAUAUGCUUACUUUGCAUCCUGACUCGUUACUGAUUGUUUUCCAAAUAUGUUACUUUUAUUCUUUAUUCUCUAGGAUUUCCAGGUAUACUGCCGUAUCAUCUACAAAUGAUACAUACGGUUUUACUUCUUUUUCCAUUCUAAAGCCUGUAAUUGUUUAUUGUUUUCUAACUGUAUCAGUGAAUACUUCUGACUGAAUUUCAAAUAGUGAUGGGAAUGCUUUUCUUUUAAUGGGUAUUUUUUUUCUAAUGUAAGAUGAUAACUUUUUUUUAAAAAAAUACAUGGUAAAGGGCUUCCCUGGUGGCACAG